UACGUAGGGGGCAAGCGUUGUCCGGAAUCAUUGGGCGUAAAGAGCGUGUAGGCGGUUCGGUAAGUCCGCUGUGAAAGUCCAGGGCUCAACCCUGGAAUGCCGGUGGAUACUGCCGGGCUAGAGUCCGGAAGAGGCGAGUGGAAUUCCUGGUGUAGCGGUGAAAUGCGCAGAUAUCAGGAGGAACACCGAUGGCGAAGGCAGCUCGCUGGGACGGUACUGACGCUGAGACGCGAAAGCGUGGGGAGCGAACAGG
rnacentral:rRNA from 1 species